UCCACUGGUGAAUGAUGUCCUCACCUGGACUGGUUUCCUACAAGACGGCUGCCUUGUGAACAUGUCUCCUAAGCUUCCUUCCUAUCCAGAGAUGGAAGAACAUCAAAACCAUUGGGAUCCUUUUAGUGACAUUUCUUAGAUCGAUUCAGGAGGUAAAUUCAUGUGGAAGUGCUACCAUCUGCUGUCAGUAAUAAUGAACUGAGCAAAUCUGCACUGAGAAAAAUGUCCGUGUGGAAAUACACACUGCCAAUGAACUGUGUUAAGCUUACAACUUAAUAAACACUUCUACUGGAACCAAGUUCUGCUAAAUGGUUUUCCAUGAAAACAGAAAUGAUGGGUCAGAUUUCUAUCUCUGUAACUCCAGAGAAGUUAUAUAGGCAUAUUUCCUCAUGAAAUUUACUUUAGCAAUGGUUAAAUGUCUCAUAAAAUAAGUCUGACAAGAAUACUGUGAAUUGGUUUUAGAACUAUUAGAUGUGACUAUCACAAGGAAAUGAUAAUACUGCACCUUCAUUCUUACACGUAAUAAAUAUGAUGAGUUACUUGGUUCA